rnacentral:rRNA from 1 species
UACGUAGGGGGCGAGCGUUGUCCGGAUUUAUUGGGCGUAAAGAGCUCGUAGGCGGUUCGAUAAGUCGGAUGUGAAAUCUCCACGCUCAACGUGGAGGGGCCAUUCGAUACUGUCGUGACUCGAGUCCGGUAGGGGAGUGUGGAAUUCCCGGUGUAGCGGUGAAAUGCGCAGAGAUCGGGAGGAACACCAGUGGCGAAGGCGGCAUCCUGGCCAUGUACUGACGCUCAGGGGCGAAAGCGUGGGGAGCAAACCGG